rnacentral:rRNA from 1 species
AUUGAAAGCUUGCUGCAGGCCUAACACAUGCAAGUCGAGCGAGCGGCGGACGGGUGCGUAAUUUCUGGGAAACUGCCUGAUGGAGGUGGAUAACUACUGGAAACGGUAGCUAAUACCGCAUACCAUCAGAUGUGCCCAGAUGGGAUUCGCUAGUAGGUGGGGUAAUGGCUCACCUAGGCGACGAUACCUAGCUGGUCUGAGAGGAUGGCCAGCCACACUGGAACUGAGACACGGUCCAGACGCCUACGGGAGGCAGCAGUGGGGAAUAUUGCACAAUGGGCGCAAGCCUGAUGCAGCCAUGCCGCGUGUAUGAAGAAGGCCUUCGGGUUGUAAGGUACUUUCAGCGAGGAGGCGUUACUCGCAGAAGAAGCACCGGCUAACUCCGUGCCAGCAGCCGCGGUAAUAC